rnacentral:rRNA from 1 species
GAUGAACGCUGGCGGCGUGCUUAACACAUGCAAGUCGAACGGAAAGGCUCCUGCUUGCAGGGGUACUCGAGUGGCGAACGGGUGAGUAACACGUGGGUGGUCUGCCCUGCACUUCGGGAUAAGCCUGGGAAACUGGGUCUAAUACCGGAUAGGACGAUGGUUUGGAUGCCAUUGUGGAAAGUUUUUCGGUGUGGGAUGAGCUCGCGGCCUAUCAGCUUGUUGGUGGGGUAAUGGCCUACCAAGGCGUCGACGGGUAGCCGGCCUGAGAGGGUGUACGGCCACAUUGGGACUGAGAUACGGCCCAGACUCCUACGGGAGGCAGCAGUGGGGAAUAUUGCACAAUGGGCGCAAGCCUGAUGCAGCGACGCCGCGUGGGGGAUGACGGCCUUCGGGUUGUAAACUCCUUUCGCUAGGGACGAAGCGCAAGUGACGGUACCUGGAGAAGAAGCACCGGCUAACUACGUG